GGCCCAGCAUGGUGUAGUGCUUUGAGUGUUGGACUAGGACUCUAGAGACCAGAGUUCAAAUCCCUGCUUGGCCA